rnacentral:rRNA from 1 species
GAUGAACGCUGGCGGCGUGCCUCAAACAUGCAAGUCGAGCGAGGCUAUGAGUUACCGCAAGGUAAGGCAUAGCCUAGCGGCGAACGGGUGAGUAACACGUGGGUAACCUACCUGGAAGACAGGGAUAACGAUUCGAAAGGGUCGCUAAUACCUGAUAAUAUCCGUCUGCCGGAUGGCGGAGGGAAGAAAGGGGAAACCCGCUUUCAGAUGGGCCCGCGUCCCAUCAGCUAGUUGGUAAGGUAAAGGCUUACCAAGGCGACGACGGGUAGCCGGUCUGAGAGGAUGUACGGCCACACUGGGACUGAGAUACGGCCCAGACUCCUACGGGAGGCAGCAGUGGGGAAUAUUGCACAAUGGGCGAAAGCCUGAUGCAGCGACGCCGCGUGAGGGAUGACGGCCUUCGGGUUGUAAACCUCUUUCAGCAGGGAAGAAGCGAAAGUGACGGUACCUGCAGAAGAAGCACCGGCUAACUACGUG